rnacentral:rRNA from 1 species
CCUACGGGUGGCAGCAGUGAGGAAUAUUGGUCAAUGGUCGGGAGACUGAACCAGCCAAGCCGCGUGAGGGAUGAAGGUACAGAGUAUCGUAAACCUCUUUUGUCAGGGAACAAAGGCGGGGACGUGUCCCCGGAUGAGUGUACCUGAAGAAAAAGCAUCGGCUAACUCCGUGCCAGCAGCCGCGGUAAUACGGAGGAUGCGAGCGUUAUCCGGAUUUAUUGGGCGUAAAGGGCGCGUAGGUGGGCGUUUAAGUCAGGUGUGAAAACUCCGGGCUCAACCUGGAGACUGCACUUGAAACUGGGUGUCUUGAGGGCAGGAGAGGAAAGUGGAAUUCCUAGUGUAGCGGUGAAAUGCGUAGAUAUUAGGAGGAACACCAGUGGCGAAGGCGACUUUCUGGACUGUACCUGACGCUGAGGCGCGAAAGCGUGGGUAGCGAACGGGAUUAGAUACCCCAGUAGUC